UAGUCUCGCACAGAUGCAUAUCAAUAAGCGGAGGAAAAGAAACUAACAAGGAUUCCCCUAGUAACGGCGAGUGAAGCGGGAAGAGCUCAAAUUUGAAAUCUUAAAGGGUUUCCCUUUACGAAUUGUAGUUUAUAGAAGUGUUUUCUGUUGAGGUUUUGGUAAAAGUUCUUUGGAAUAGGACAUCAUAGAGGGUGAGAAUCCCGUAUUUGACCUUUACUUUCAACUUUGUGAUACACUUUCAAAGAGUCGGAUUGUUUGGGAAUGCAGUCCAAAAUGGGUGGUAAAUUUCAUCCUAAAGCUAAAUAUUGGCGAGAGACCGAUAGCGAACAAGUACCGUGAGGGAAAGAUGAAAAGAACUUCGAAAAGAGAGUUAAACAGUACGUGAAAUUGUCAAAAGGGAAGCGUUUGACACCAGUGUUGUUUUUCUGAAAAUCAAUUAAAGAACUGUUUAUGCUAAGUUGUUUAGACUUUAUCAGCUAACUGUUUAGUUUUGAGCUUUUCUUUAAUGCACUUUUCAGUUAACAAGUCAACAUCAAUUUCUUUUGCUGUAAAAAAGCUUGAGGAAGGUGGCUUGAGAUUCGUCUUAAGUGUUUAUAGCCUCUUGCCUAUGCAGUCGGAGAGAUUGAGGUCUGCAGCGUAGAUCCUUCGGGGCUAAAUGCAUUUGUGCUAAGUUAUAGCAUUUUAUAGACAACUUGUUGACUAUGAUUUGUCUUGUAGCUUACUCGCUUAUGUUAUUUUACCUACGCUUAGGAUGUGACAGCAGUAUAGACUGU
rnacentral:rRNA from 1 species